rnacentral:rRNA from 1 species
AGAGUUUGAUCAUGGCUCAGUGAUGAACGCUGGCGGCGUGCUUAACACAUGCAAGUCACGGGGUGCCCAGCAAUGGGCAACCGGCGAACGGGUGCGUAACACGUGAGCAACCUACCUAAGUGAGGGGGAUAGCCGGGCCAACGCCCGGGUAAUACCGCAUACGCUCGAAUUGAGGCAUUUUGAUUCGAGGAAACCUACGGGGCACUAUGAGGGGCUCGCGGCCUAUCAGCUAGUUGGUGAGGUAACGGCUCACCAAGGCGACGACGGGUAGCUGGUCUGAGAGGAUGGCCAGCCACAUUGGGACUGAGAUACGGCCCAGACUCCUACGGGAGGCAGCAGUGGGGAAUCUUGCGCAAUGGCCUAACGGCUGACGCAGCGACGCCGCGUGAGGGAUGACGCUCUUCGGAGUGUAAACCUCUUUUGUCUGAGACGAAUUGUCAGCAUCAGCUGAUUUGACGGUAUCGGGCGAAUAAGCACCGGCUAACUCCGUGCCAGCAGCCGCGGUAAUACGGGGGGUGCGAGCGUUGUCCGGAAUCACUGGGCGUAAAGGGCGCGUAGGUGGCCUGAUAAGGGUGUGGUGAAAGUCCGGGGCUCAACCCCGGAUCGGCCGUGCCGACUGUUAGGCUAGAGUACUGUAGGGGCAGGCGGAAUUCCGGGUGUAGCGGUGGAAUGCGUAGAGAUCCGGAGGAAGACCGGUGGCGAAGGCGGCCUGCUGGGCAAGUUACUGACACUGAGGCGCGACAGCGUGGGGAGCAAACAGGAUUAGAUACCCUGGUANUUCCACGCCGUAACCGAUGGGUACUUAAGGUGCUUGGGGGANCGA